rnacentral:rRNA from 1 species
CCUACGGGGGGCAGCAGUGAGGAAUAUUGGUCAAUGGGCGAGAGCCUGAACCAGCCAAGUCGCGUGAGGGAAGACGGUCCUACGGAUUGUAAACCUCUUUUGUCAGGGAGCAAGGAGCGCCACGAGUGGUGCGGCGAGAGUACCUGAAGAAAAAGCAUCGGCUAACUCCGUGCCAGCAGCCGCGGUAAUACGGAGGAUGCGAGCGUUAUCCGGAUUUAUUGGGUUGAAAGGGUGCGCAGGCGGAAGCGGCAAGUCAGCGGUAACAUUGCGGGGCUCAACCUCGCCGAGCCGUUGAAACUGCUCUUCUAGCGUGGGCGUGCAGUCUGCGGACUGCGUGGUGUCGCUGUGCAAUGCAUAGCUAUCACGCAGCACUCCGCUUGCGACUGCAGCAUACCGGCGCCCACCUGUCGCUCAUGCACGACAGCGUGGGUAUCGAACCGGAUUAGAUACCCGAGUAGUC